rnacentral:sRNA from 1 species
AUUACCUGCCAAUUCCAACGAGAUUGUUGGAAUCUCACCAAAUCCUUUGAUUAUGCUAGAAAAGAAGAAAUCACAAAUUGAAGAAAAGUUUGAGAAGGAAUGGCAAGUUUCAGUUACUCGAAUUGAAAAUGAAGCCACGAGUUCUUAUGCAAAACGAAGAAGAAGUAUAUGACCUGGAUUAAUUGAAUUAGGAAAAAGAGCAUUCUUAUGCAAUAAGGACAUUUACAAUUAUGCUUUAGUUAAAUUAGUCUUUCCUAGAAGAAUUAUGUUAAGCAUUACUUUGUUAUAUGCUCUCGUGUAUAUGCUCUCUCACGAGAGCAAGAAGCAAAACUUCUAUUUAUUUCUUUUGAACACAAUUUGGAGUUCUUACACCAACUGCAGCCGUAGUUUUUUUUAGUAGAAACUCAUAUAAUUAAAAAAAA